rnacentral:lncRNA from 1 species
CAAAAAUGAAAUGUGAAAUCCAAUUGGAAAAAUGAAAGGGAAAAGAAUACAAGAAACAAAAAAUUAAGAGGAGUCCAAAGAGAUGCUAAAUAAUCUGUUCUACACAAUCGGCAGAUAAAGCUUGCCUGCAGAUGUGAUUAGUUUAAUGAUCUUGAGAUGAGAAGAGUAUUCUGGACGAUCUGGUGUGCUCUAAUUGCCAUUGCAAGUGUCUUUUAUAAGAGGGAGACAGAUUAUUUUACAUACACAAGAAAAUGCAGUAAAGAUGCAGAAGUGAGAGGUUUGAAGAUGCUAGCCCUGAAGACUGAAGUAAUAUGACCACAAGUCAAGGAAUACCUGCAGCCACCAGAAGCUGGAAGAGAUAAGGAAAAGAUUGCCCCCUACAACCUCCUGAGGGAGUAUGGUCUUGCUGACACCUUGGUUUUGGCCCCGUGAUGUGGAUCUCACAUUUCUGAUCUCCAAAAUUACUGUAGAUCAGAGGAUUCAACAUGGGUAUCAGCACUGUGUAAAACACGGAGGCCAAUUUGACUGUGUGCCUGGAGAUUUUUGAGUUGGGCACACAGUAGAUGAAGAGAAUUGUGCCACAAAAGAUAGUGAUGGUGGUCAGGUGUCAGGCACAGGUGGAGAAGACUUUGUGGUGCCCACCAGCUGGAUACAUCUUUAGGGUGG